UACGUAGGCAGCAAGCGUUGUUCGGAGUUACUGGGCGUAAAGGGUGCGUAGGUGGCUCUAUAAGUAUGGUGUGAAAUCUCCCGGCUUAACUGGGAGGGUGCGCCGUAGACUGUGGGGCUAGAGUGUGGGAGAGGAAAGUGGAAUUCCUGGUGUAGCGGUGAAAUGCGUAGAUAUCAGGAGGAACACCGGUGGUGUAAACGGCUUUCUGGACCAUAACUGACGCUGAGGCACGAAAGCGUGGGUAGCAAACAGG
rnacentral:rRNA from 1 species